AGAGUUUGAUCCUGGCUCAGGAUGAACGCUGGCGGUCUGCUUAACACAUGCAAGUCGAACGGGGGUAGAAAUACCCUAGUGGCGGACGGGUGAGUAACGCGUGAGAAUCUGCCUUCAGGUUCGGGACAACCACUGGAAACGGUGGCUAAUACCGGAUAUGCUUCACGGUGAAAGAUUUAUUGCCUGAAGAGGAGCUCGCGUCUGAUUAGCUAGUUGGUAGGGUAAAAGCCUACCAAGGCAACGAUCAGUAGCUGGUCUGAGAGGAUGAUCAGCCACACUGGGACUGAGACACGGCCCAGACUCCUACGGGAGGCAGCAGUGGGGAAUUUUCCGCAAUGGGCGAAAGCCUGACGGAGCAAGACCGCGUGAGGGAGGAAGGCUCUUGGGUUGUAAACCUCUUUUCUCAGGGAAGAACAAAAUGACGGUACCUGAGGAAUCAGCCUCGGCUAACUCCGUGCCAGCAGCCGCGGUAAUACGGAGGAGGCAAGCGUUAUCCGGAAUUAUUGGGCGUAAAGCGUCCGCAGGUGGCUCGCUCAAGUCUGCUGUCAAAGACCGGGGCUUAACUCCGGAAAGGCAGUGGAAACUGACAAGCUAGAGGGCUCUAGGGGUAGAGGGAAUUCCCGGUGUAGCGGUGAAAUGCGUAGAGAUCGGGAAGAACAUCGGUGGCGAAAGCGCUCUACUGGAGAGCAACUGACACUCAGGGACGAAAGCUAGGGGAGCGAAUGGGAUUAGAUACCCCAGUAGUCCUAGCCGUAAACGAUGGAUACUAGGCGUGGCUCGUAUCGACCCGAGCCGUGCCGUAGCUAACGCGUUAAGUAUCCCGCCUGGGGAGUACGCACGCAAGUGUGAAACUCAAAGGAAUUGACGGGGGCCCGCACAAGCGGUGGAGUAUGUGGUUUAAUUCGAUGCAACGCGAAGAACCUUACCAGGGCUUGACAUGUCCGGAACCCUGCUGAAAGGUGGGGGUGCCUUCGGGAGCCGGAACACAGGUGGUGCAUGGCUGUCGUCAGCUCGUGUCGUGAGAUGUUGGGUUAAGUCCCGCAACGAGCGCAACCCUCGUUCUUAGUUGCCAGCAUUAAGUUGGGCACUCUAGGGAGACUGCCGGUGACAAACCGGAGGAAGGUGGGGAUGACGUCAAGUCAGCAUGCCCCUUACGUCCUGGGCUACACACGUACUACAAUGCGACGGACAAAGGGCAGCGAGCGAGCGAUCGUCAGCUAAUCCCAUAAACCGUGGCUCAGUUCAGAUCGCAGACUGCAACUCGCCUGCGUGAAGGAGGAAUCGCUAGUAAUUGCAGGUCAGCAUACUGCAGUGAAUCCGUUCCCGGGCCUUGUACACACCGCCCGUCACACCAUGGGAGCUGGUUUUGCCCGAAGUCGUUACCCUAACCCGCAAGGGAAGGGGACGCCGAAGGCAGGGCUAGUGACUGGGGUGAAGUCGUAACAAGGUAGCCGUACCGGAAGGUGUGGCUGGAUCACCUCCUUUUUAGGGAGACCUAACCCUCUGAAGCUUUGAUAAGCAACAGAGAGGUCAUCCUAGGUCGUAAGAGUAGAUGGAAGGAAAGCUUUCAAACUAGAGCCGGUUCGGAACAAGGGCUAUUAGCUCAGGUGGUUAGAGCGCACCCCUGAUAAGGGUGAGGUCCCUGGUUCGAGUCCAGGAUGGCCCACCUUGAGAGGUCAAGGAGGGAUAGCAAAAAAAAGAGGCAGUUCAAGAGAUGCCUCUGACUAAAGUCUAUUGCCUCCUGUUUUGACCUAGUCAAUAUCCAGAGCAAAGGCAAUCAGCAACUGAUCCUGUUGACUAGAAACAGAACAGCCUGCUGGAUGUCUAAUCCAGCCAGAACCUUGAAAACUGCAUAGCAACUGAUAUAGGUAGUUCUCAGUCAUGAGUGAACAGUCAAGGGAGAUUUAAUGAAAUCGCCUGGACUAGGAAACGAAUGACUGGUGAAAAGACGUAUCACAGACGCCAAAUAAAUUGUGGUCAAGCUACAAAGAGCUAACGGUGGAUACCU
rnacentral:rRNA from 2 species